CGAGGUCCAUCUUGUAGCAAUACAAGUGAAGACCUAGUGGCGAACGGGUGAGGAACACGUGAGAAAUUUGCCCCGAACUUUGGGAUAACAGUUGGAAACGACUGCUAAUACCGAAUGCCGUUACGAAGUGGCAUCACUUUGUAACGAAAGAAUUUCGGUUCGGGAGAAUCUCGCGGCCUAUCAGCUUGUUGGUGAGGUAACGGCUCACCAAGGCUACGACGGGUAGCUGGUCUGAGAGGAUGAUCAGCCACACUGGGACUGAGACACGGCCCAGACUCUUACGGGAGGCAGCAGUGGGGAAUCUUGUGCAAUGGACGAAAGUCUGACACAGCCACGCCGCGUGCGGGAAGAAGGCCUUCGGGUUGUAAACCGCUUUCAGCAGGAACGAAAAUGACGGUACCUGCAGAAGAAGGAGCGGCCAACUACGUGCCAGCAGCCGCGGUGACACGUAGGCUCCAAGCGUUGUCCGGAUUUAUUGGGCGUAAAGAGCUCGUAGGCGGUUCAGCAAGUCGGGUGUGAAAACUCUGGGCUCAACCCAGAGCCUGCACCCGAAACUGCUGUGACUAGAGUUCGGUAGGGGAGUGGGGAAUUCCUAGUGUAGCGGUGAAAUGCGCAGAUAUUAGGAGGAACACCGAUGGCGAAGGCACCACUCUGGGCCGAAACUGACGCUG
rnacentral:rRNA from 1 species